rnacentral:rRNA from 1 species
GGGGGGGGUAACAGAGUAGCUUGCUAUUUGCUGAUCGGCGCACGGGUGAGUAACGCGUAUGCAACCUACCUUUUACUGGAGAAUAGCCUUUAGAAAUGAAGAUUAAUACUCCAUAAUAAUUAGAGCUCUCCUGAGUUUUAAUUUAAAGUUUCGGCGGUAAAAGAUGGGCAUGCGUUUUAUUAGUUAGUUGGUAAGGUAACGGCUUACCAAGACUACCAUACAUAGGGGUCCUGAGAGGGAGAUCCCCCACACUGGUACUGAGACACGGACCAGACUCCUACGGGAGGCAGCAGUGAGGAAUAUUGGACAAUGGGCGAGAGCCUGAUCCAGCCAUGCCGCGUGCAGGAAGACGGUCCUAUGGAUUGUAAACUGCUUUUAUACAGGAAGAAACCACCCUACGUGUAGGGUGCUGACGGUACUGUAAGAAUAAGCACCGGCUAACUCCGUGCCAGCAGCCGCGGUAAUACGGAGGGUGCAAGCGUUAUCCGGAAUCAUUGGGUUUAAAGGGUCCGUAGGCGGGCCGAUAAGUCAGGGGUGAAAGUUUGCAUCUCAACUGUAAAAUUGCCUUUGAUACUGUUGGUCUUGAGUUAUAGUGAAGUUGCCGGAAUAUGUAGUGUAGCGGUGAAAUGCAUAGAUAUUACAUAGAACACCGAUUGCGAAGGCAGGUGACUAACUAUAUACUGACGCUGAUGGACGAAAGCGUGGGGAGCGAACAGGAUUAGAUACCCUGGUAGUCCACGCCGUAAACGAUGGAUACUAGCUGUUCGGUCUUCGGACUGAGCGGCCAAGCGAAAGUGAUAAGUAUCCCACCUGGGGAGUACGUUCGCAAGAAUGAAACUCAAAGGAAUUGACGGGGGCCCGCACAAGCGGUGGAGCAUGUGGUUUAAUUCGAUGAUACGCGAGGAACCUUACCAGGGCUUAAAUGUAGAUUGACAGGGGUAGAAAUACCUUUUCCUUCGGGCAAUUUACAAGGUGCUGCAUGGUUGUCGUCAGCUCGUGCCGUGAGGUGUCAGGUUAAGUCCUAUAACGAGCGCAACCCCUGUUGUUAGUUGCCAGCGAGUAAUGUCGGGAACUCUAACAAGACUGCCGGUGCAAACCGUGAGGAAGGUGGGGAUGACGUCAAAUCAUCACGGCCCUUACGUCCUGGGCCACACACGUGCUACAAUGGCCGGUACAGAGAGCAGCCACUCCGCGAGGAGGAGCGAAUCUUCAAAACCGGUCUCAGUUCGGAUCGGAGUCU